UAUCUGGCUGGAACAGAAAAGUUCCUCCAUUUUCGUCUUUGCGACCCACCAUGAAAUAUUCAGAACAGCAGACGAUCUAACUUCGUUAAAAUGUCAAGUCACUAUUAGUAAACAAAAAGUUUCUGUAGCUAUCUUUCACAAUCUGUACAGUAACUUAGAUAAUGUUCUAAAGCACUAUUCCCUUCUACGUUUCAAUUCACCGUGUCUGCGCAUUCACUCUAAAUUCAGUUUCUCACACUACCUGUUAACUUGUGUUUAUUGACUAAGCUGGAAAAUUGUGCAUACAAAGAUGACCAAGGGACUGAUAGUUCAUACUGCUUUACGAUGCCUUGAAAAUUCAGCUGUGUAAAACAUUGGCUAAUGGGGAUGCUGAGAUACUUGCUCCAUUGGAACUGUCAUCUCUUCUAGUCCCCAAGGAAUGCAACUAAAAAAAAAUUACUGUAAAAUUAUUUCUUUCAUCUCCUCAACCAGAAUUUAACAAAUUAGCCUUGCUUUGAAUGACAUUGGAUCAACUCGUGCUGGUCUGUUCUUAAUAUCAUUGCCUGCUGGUAUCAGCAAAGAGGAUGGCAUCACAUUGUGGAAUGCAAUGGAGACUGUAUAGUUGAUCAGGAACCAGCAUAUUCUUUAGGAAUUAGUGAUGUUGCUACUCAAGCAUUUUUGGAACUUCACAACUCUUGUCGAAUUAAACCAGGCUAUUCAGAUAAACCUUGAAAGCUAUUGUGUAGUACCUCCUGAAUUAGUUACCUUCACAAGAGAGAAUAACAUCCAACUGUUGACUCACAAUGAUCCACAGAACAUUUUACUAGCUGAAACUUUGAAGAAUUGAAAUAUGAUGAAAAAAUGCUGAAAUAUGAUGAAUUGACACAAUGUAAACAACUUUUUAACUCCCACCCUAGAGCAAUGGUAGGCCCAAUUGAAUAGGUAAUUCCAAAGAAUAAGUAGGUUUGGCAACAAAUAUAUAAAUAUGUUAAUACACUUAUAUAAUUGUA